GAGCUUGGGUAUAUUUUCAGAAUCCCCUUCAUCUGUGAGGAACAGUUCUGCUGCCAACUUCAUACCACCACCUCUUCCUCCACAGAGGAAAGACUUCUGAGCCUGCUGAGAGCUGCCUCGUUAUGUGGGAUGGUGGCAGGGAUGUAACUACAGAGGAGCCCCUAUGCUCAUCUCCUGGGAGCCCCCACAGCUCUGCAGAAGUGUUCUCAAUCGCUACCGUUUGGUUGCAGCUGGCUGUGCUGUGCCCUGCGUCAGCCUCCAGAGAGCCUGUGUGAUGGGACAGGAGACCUUUCAGCUGGAGAAGUCAGCUGCUGUGCAAGCUUGA
rnacentral:lncRNA from 1 species